rnacentral:rRNA from 1 species
UUGUAACUAAAAUGGUUUGGCAGUGAGCGAUUCUUGUUAGGGGAAGAUGCAUAGUAAAGGAUGGUCCACCUAUUAUUUCACUCUUGUUAUGUUGGUGUAUAUCUGGUUUGAUAUUAUCGUUUAAUGGUUUGAGUUUGUGUAGUUUUAGUUAAGCCAAGUCUAUGUGCUGCUUAUGGGAGUUUUUGUGUGUUACAUUAAUAAGGGUGUUGUUGUAAUAUAAUAUUAUUUAGGACUUAAUAGUAAUGU